rnacentral:lncRNA from 1 species
CUUUGCUCUGGUUUGUAAGAUGUUGACACCUGCGGAAGCUGGGCUGGGGCAUCCGAGAACUCUCUGCACUGUCCUUCAACUUUUCUGUGCCAGAUCUGGGCCAUGGGCCAGAAGAUGCUAUGUGCUGCCCUCACAGAGCAGGAACUUGAAGUAAGGAAUUGGGAGCCUGCUCAAGAGAAUGGGCUAACCAGGAUGGCCCGACCUGAACCCGCGAGAACACAAGCUCAAGGGAGCACAGACAGCCCGUUGUGUUUAUCGCUGCCUCCCGGGUGCUCAGAACAAUCCCGAUACCUAGGACCAGUCAAUAACUAGGUGUCGAAUGAAUGAACAAGGGGCACGUGGUGUAUUUGGGUAAGCAAUAAAUAAGGCCG